UACGUAGGGAGCGAGCGUUUGAUCCGAAGUACUGGGCGUAAAGCGCGCGUAGGCGGGUCUAUUAAGUGAGAGGUGAAAGCUGGGGCUCAACCUCAUGCAGUGCCUCUCAUACUGGAGUCUUGGAGGGCGGUAGAGAGAAGUGGAAUGGCUGGUGUAGCGGUGAAAUGCGUAGAUAUUGGGAAGAACACCUGAGGCGAAGGCGGGUUGCUGGGCCGACACUGACGCUGAGGCGGCGAAAAGCCAGGGGAGCCGAACGGG
rnacentral:rRNA from 1 species